rnacentral:rRNA from 1 species
UACGUAGGGGGCAAGCGUUGUCCGGAAUCAUUGGGCGUAAAGCGCGUGUAGGCGGCCCGAUAAGUCCGCUGUGAAAGUCCAGGGCUCAACCCUGGGAUGCCGGUGGAUACUGUCGGGCUCGAGUCCGGAAGAGGCGAGUGGAAUUCCCGGUGUAGCGGUGAAAUGCGCAGAUAUCAGGAGGAACACCAAUGGCGAAGGCAGCUCGCUGGGACGUGACUGACGCUGAGACGCGAAAGCGUGGGGAGCGAACAGG